UACGGAGGAUCCAAGCGUUAUCCGGAUUUAUUGGGUUUAAAGGGUGCGUAGGCGGCCUAUUAAGUCAGGGGUGAAAGACGGUAGCUUAACUAUCGCAGUGCCUUUGAUACUGAUGGGCUUGAAUGGACUAGAGGUAGGCGGAAUGUGACAAGUAGCGGUGAGAUGCAUAGAUAUGUCACAGAACACCAAUUGCGAAGGCAGCUUACUAUGGUUUAAUUGACGCUGAGGCACGAAAGCGUGGGGAUCAAACAGG
rnacentral:rRNA from 1 species